AAUCAUGCGCAAAGGAGUAUUUCAAAACGUGUUCUCACAGAACUUCCUGGUUAUAUUCUGCUGCAGAUUUAAGGGCACCAGCGUGUGCUACCGUAUUUGGACGCUGGUUUCAUUUUUGCUGAAUUGCCUGUGGUGAAGAAACCUGAGCACUGAUGCAGCGACCUUUUACAAGAAAUUUCUGCCUAUCUUUAUAAUCCUCGGUGACUACAGCAACAGAAAAGAAUGUAUUCCUUGUGGGAAGUGGGACUGUGCAAGCGUGAGUAACAAUCACAGGACCAGGAUCCUAAUUUAAAGCAGAUGAAACAUCACCACGUAAUUACAUAGCAAACAAAACCAAGUUACAUUACAUUUUAAAGUCUGCAAGAAAGAAAGUAAUUAUAAGAUUAUACGUAUAUUUUUAUUUUUGAAAUGAUAAGAAAUUAUACUAUACACCUAUUUAAGUACAGAAUCGCGCCAUUAAGGUUUGAUCCUGCAAACAGUUACACCAUCAGCAACAGGCAAUUAACAUUUGGCUUUAAUUUGA